UUGCAUUAUUUUGCUGUUCAUGUCUUCUUCCUGCCAUCUUACUGGCUUUCUAUUCAGGAAGCUUAUUUCUUCUAUUUACCAGAUACCUCAGGAGGCCUAUAACUUACUACAGUUAAUGAAGCAGCUGCCACAUAGCACCUUUUCACAAAACUUUUUGUGAAAAGCUUGUUUUAAGAGGUAUACUAUUGAAGAUGUGUAAUCUUCUUUUUGACAGACACAACAUAAGACAAAAAUUCUUUCACAGAAAUUUGAAUUUUCCACUGUUUGUGGUGAUAAUAUUUUUUUAAUUAGAAUCAUAGAAUCAUGGAAUCAUAGAA